rnacentral:rRNA from 1 species
CCAACCGGGAUUGCCUUAGUAACGGCGAGUGAAGCGGCAAAAGCUCAAAUUUGAAAUCUGGUACCUUCGGUGCCCGAGUUGUAAUUUGGAGAGGGCAACUUUGGGGCCGUUCCUUGUCUAUGUUCCUUGGAACAGGACGUCAUAGAGGGUGAGAAUCCCGUGUGGCGAGGAGUGCGGUUCUUUGUAAAGUGCCUUCGAAGAGUCGAGUUGUUUGGGAAUGCAGCUCUAAGUGGGUGGUAAAUUCCAUCUAAAGCUAAAUAUUGGCGAGAGACCGAUAGCGAACAAGUACAGUGAUGGAAAGAUGAAAAGAACUUUGAAAAGAGAGUGAAAAAGUACGUGAAAUUGUUGAAAGGGAAGGGCAUUUGAUCAGACAUGGUGUUUUGUGCCCUCUGCUCCUUGUGGGUAGGGGAAUCUCGCAUUUCACUGGGCCAGCAUCAGUUUUGGUGGCAGGAUAAAUCCAUAGGAAUGUAGCUUGCCUCGGUAAGUAUUAUAGCCUGUGGGAAUACUGCCAGCUGGGACUGAGGACUGCGACGUAAGUCAAGGAUGCUGGCAUAAUGGUUAUAUGCCGCCCGUCUUGAAACACGGACCUCCUGUGUG